rnacentral:rRNA from 1 species
UAGGGAAUCUUCCGCAAUGGACGAAAGUCUGCCGGAGCAACGCCGCGUGAGUGAUGAAGGCUUUCGGGUCGUAAAACUCUGUUGUUAUGGAAGAACAAGUACGAGAGUAACUGCUCGUACCUUGACGGUACCUAACCAGAAAGCCACGGCUAACUACGUGCCAGCAGCCGCGGUAAUACGUAGGUGGCAAGCGUUAUCCGGAAUUAUUGGGCGUAAAGCGCGCGCAGGCGGUUUCUUAAGUCUGAUGUGAAAGCCCACGGCUCAACCGUGGAGGGUCAGUGGAAACUGGGGAACUUGAGGGCAGAAGAGAAAAGCGGAAUUCCACGUGUAGCGGUGAAAUGCGUAGAGAUGUGGAGGAACACCAGGGGCGAAGGCGGCUUUUUGGUCUGUAAAUGACGCUGAGGCGCGAAAGCGUGGGGAGCAAACAGG